rnacentral:lncRNA from 10 species
AUCAGGACGUGGGUGCCGAUGACAAGGGCGCUUUGCCGCCAUGGCCCGGGGCUGGAAGCGCAGCUCUCAAAGGCCUGUGCUGGGGGCUUUCUGAGAGGUCAUCUGAUGAGAUGCUCACAGAGGCGUUGAUAGAGGAGGACCUGGGAUGUCGAGAAGAGAAACCGCAUGAAGGCUUUUGCAGCUAGCAGCGGGCGCAGCGGAGACUUGACCCUGGCGAUCUCGGAGGCGUAUAUCAAGCUGUGUGUGCCCUGUCCUGCUUUUCUCACAGGCUGCUGGGAGGACAAACUCAAGUCAGGGAAGCAAAAGGGCUUUGUACACUAAAACUCUGUCCCAACAUGAGUUGUUUGUCUGUUUCAAAUUUUACCAGCAGAAACGUCUGUCUUACCCCACUCUCUCCACCCCAUUUCUCUCUGCCUCAAUUAUCUGGUUUCAUAACCGUGGUGUGUCUUGUUGGAUUUUGCUGUCUCAAACAAA